rnacentral:rRNA from 1 species
AGCGAAUAGAUACCCUGGUAGUCCACGCCGUAAACGAUGGAUGCUAGCUGUUAUCAGUAUCGACCCUGGUAGUAGCGAAGCUAACGCGUUAAGCAUCCCGCCUGAGGAGUACGAGCGCAAGCUUAAAACUCAAAGGAAUUGACGGGGACCCGCACAAGCGGUGGAGCGUGUUGUUUAAUUCGAUGGUAAGCGAGGAACCUUACCAAGGUUUGACAUCCUGGGAAAGUUGGUGAAAGCCGACCGUGCCUUCGGGAACCCAGUGACAGGUGAUGCAUGGCCGUCGUCAGCUCGUGUCGUGAGAUGUCUGGUUAAGUCCAUCAACGAGCGCAACCCUUAUAGUCUGUUGUAUUUCUCAGGCUAGACUGCCCCGGUAACGGGGAGGAAGGAGGGGAUGAUGUCAGGUCUGUAUUUCCCUUACACCUUGGGCUACAAACACGCUACAAUGGCCGGUACAAAGGGCUGCCAAGCAGCAAUGCGGAGCAAAUCCCAUCAAAGCCGGUCUCAGUUCGGAUUGUUGGCUGAAACUCGCCAGC